UACGUAGGGGGCUAGCGUUGUCCGGAUUUAUUGGGCGUAAAGAGCGUGUAGGCGGCCAGGUAGGUCUGGUGUGAAAACUCGAGGCUUAACCUCGAGAUGUCAUCGGAAACCAUCUGGCUAGAGUCCGGAAGAGGAGAGUGGAAUUCCUGGUGUAGCGGUGAAAUGCGCAGAUAUCAGGAAGAACACCAAUGGCUAAGGCAGCUCUCUGGGACGGUACUGACGCUGAGACGCGAAAGCGUGGGGAGCGAACAGG
rnacentral:rRNA from 1 species